rnacentral:pre_miRNA from 1 species
GGUUUGAAGUUUCCUCGGCAGUUAACUGCAGUCGGAUUUUUAAUUCCUCGACAGUUAACUGCCGAGGGGAUA